rnacentral:rRNA from 1 species
CCUACGGGAGGCAGCAGUAAGGAAUAUUGGUCAAUGGACGCAAGUCUGAACCAGCCAUGCCGCGUGAAGGAUGAAGGUCCUCUGGAUUGUAAACUUCUUUUAUAGGGGACGAAAAAAGGGAAUUCUUUCUCACUUGACGGUACCCUAGGAAUAAGCACCGGCUAACUCCGUGCCAGCAGCCGCGGUAAUACGGAGGGUGCAAGCGUUAUCCGGAUUCACUGGGUUUAAAGGGUGCGUAGGUGGGCAUUUAAGUCAGUGGUGAAAUCUCCGGGCUUAACCCGGAAACUGCCAUUGAUACUAUUUGUCUUGAAUAUUGUGGAGGUAAGCGGAAUAUGUCAUGUAGCGGUGAAAUGCUUAGAUAUGACAUAGAACACCCAUUGCGAAGGCAGCUUACUACGCAAAUAUUGACACUGAGGCACGAAAGCGUGGGGAUCAAACAGGAUUAGAUACCCUGGUAGUCCACGCCCUAAACGAUGGAUACUCGACAUCAGCGAUACACAGUUGGUGUCUGAGCGAAAGCAUUAAGUAUCCCACCUGGGAAGUACGACCGCAAGGUUGAAACUUAAUGAAUUGACGG